UGUCUCAAUGCCUAUAGCAGGGGUCUUCAAACUACGGCCCGCGAGCUGGAUCCUGAACCCAGCCCAAGCACUCAGGGCCACCAGAUGGGCCCUAUAUCUUCAGGGGCCCGGUCAGCGCUGCGGCCGUGCAACAGCGCAGCCACAAAUACUGCUGGGAGGAAGUGACAGCCGGUGAUCAUUUCCUCCCAGCUCCCUCCACGCGGGAAGGAAGAGAGCCAAGCCGCGGGAGCCACACCGACUCCCAUCAGCCACAGCCACCCUCCUGCAAAAAAAAGGUAAGCAAAAUUAACUGUGUGUAUGUAUGUAUGUCUGUCUGUAUGCCUCUCAACUUUGUCAUUUUUGGCGGCAGUGUCCCAAUUUGUGCUGUCUCGAAUGUCACACUUUUGGGGACACCAGGGAACGGUCACUGGCAAGCAUAGCGAGAACACACUCGACUUGCUCUCCUUAGGUUCAGGGAAUGGUGUAAGGAAGUCCUCUGUCUCCCCGCACACAGUGUAUUAUAACGGGAGCCAUAAGGUUAUGGUGUAAGGAGGUCCCCUGUCUCCCCGCACACAGUGUAUUAUAAAUGCAGCUAUAAGGUUAUGGUGUAAGGAGGUCCCCUGUCUCCCCGCACACAGUGUAUUAUAACUGCAGCUAUAAGGUUAUGGUGUAAGGAGGUCCCCUGUCUCCCCGCACACAGUGUAUUAUAACUGCAGCCAUAAGGUUAU